GGUGGGGGGCAUUGUAGGAAUGUGACAACCGCUUUAAAUGUUUUAGUGACAGUUUAGACAGCCUGGGUGUCGUGUGGGGAAUUUUAAAAUCCCCUCCUCCUAGUGUCCCUAGUUUCGGGGCUCCCGGAGGAUGCUGAGGGGGACUCACACCCCACCCCCGUGUCACCCCGUAAUCUUGGGCGAGGCUAGAACCUGAGACCCUCUAACCCGGGAGUUAUAAGGGAGUGUCACCAUUCCUCCCGCAGAAGCAGCGUGCAACAACUGCCUCAGGGAUUCCCUCCGGGGUUUGGACUUCCCUUGACAGAUUCUGGAGCUGGGAGCCCAUGCUGUUCAGAAGACCUAAGUUUUAAGCCAUCCAGAGGGCAGGGCAUGAGCAGGCUGCAGGAUAGGAGAGAGGAAGAGGAGGCCCGUCAAAAGGUGGAAGGAAUAUUGUCAGAGAGCUACAUAGCCAGUCAUGGAGCAAGAGGGAGGAGCAAACCAUGGACAGCCAACAUGCUGCACUGAUGUCCAAGCAGCGCCCAAGUCCAGAGCUCUCCUACGUCUGCCAGCUCAGGGCCAUUGCCUGUCCUGUCGGCCCUGUCCCUGGGAUCCCUGCUUUCCUUCAAGAUUCUACUCGAGCCCCAUCUUCUCCAGGACACCUGGACACCGGAGCCCUCUCUCUGGUGAAGUGAAAAAUAUCCAUUUUGUAUCUCUG